rnacentral:rRNA from 1 species
AGAGUUUGAUCCUGGCUCAGAACGAACGCUGGCGGCAUGCCUAACACAUGCAAGUCGAACGAAGGCUUCGGCCUUAGUGGCGCACGGGUGCGUAACGCGUGGGAAUCUGCCCUUUGGUUCGGAAUAACAGCUGGAAACGGCUGCUAAUACCGGAUGAUGACGAAAGUCCAAAGAUUUAUCGCCAGAGGAUGAGCCCGCGUUGGAUUAGGUAGUUGGUGGGGUAAAGGCCUACCAAGCCGACGAUCCAUAGCUGGUCUGAGAAGAUGAUCAGCCACACUGGGACUGAGACACGGCCCAGACUCCUACGGGAGGCAGCAGUGGGGAAUAUUGGACAAUGGGCGCAAGCCUGAUCCAGCAAUGCCGCGUGAGUGAUGAAGGCCCUAGGGUUGUAAAGCUCUUUUACCCGGGAAGAUAAUGACUGUACCGGGAGAAUAAGCCCCGGCUAACUCCGUG